rnacentral:snoRNA from 1 species
AACUGUUUGCUAAACACUCAGCACCUCGAAGCUUUCCUUGAGGCGCUAUUUUACACGCAAACUAGAUCAACGUACGAAUUACUCAUCGUGAUAUCCCUAUCCCUGUGGAUAUGAUGGUCCAAUUCAGUUGUAUACAU